UUUGUAUCAUUUAAAAUUGUGAGGUGUCAUUUCAAGGCGGACACCCAGAACUUAAUUCGGCAGACUUUAUUUUUAAAAGUAUAUUUAUUCCAAUAAAUCAAUUUAUUUUUAUUUUUAGAGUUUUUGAGUUAUCUAUAAGUAAAAAGUGUGAAUAUUUUCGUAACUUACUUUUUUAUGUGAUAAAAUUAAUUUUAUUGGACUUCCAACAUAAAUUGAUUUAGCAAAACUCAGUUCAAAGGUUUAAAUCAGACCUAAAACGUCAGGACCCGCCCACGUACCUGCAUGCAGCUGUGGAAGAACAAGCCCAGACACGUUUCUUCACGGAGCCCAAUAGGAAAACACUUUACCGAACUCAUGUUUAGGGUCUUCUAGGCGCGAUGCGAGACGUCACAAGCGGGCUAACGUUGAGCCAAACAGCAGCUUCGAGGCACGGGCGGAAAUGAGAAGGAGUUUGGCCCCCAGUCAGGUCGCCAAACGGAAGCAAGGGGAGGAUGAUCAUCGAGACGAAAUAUAGUAUAUUAACCACGCGGUUCUCGAGAGAAGAUGAAUGGAGAAAAUUGGGACAGUGAUGAAGAAGUCCAAGUUCCAUGGCCACUCAACAAAGCAGGAGGAAGGAAGCAGUCACAAACCAAAUACGUGGCAAGAAUUCUGAGAUUUGGUGAAGACACACGUGAACUGACGCCAUAUUUGAA